CGCAAUGGGCGAAAGCCUGACGGAGCAAUGCCGCGUGGAGGAUGACAUCCUUUGGGUCGUAAAAUCCUUUUUUCAGAGAAGAAGUUUUGACGGUAUUUGAGGAAUAAGCAUCGGCUAACUCCGUGCCAGCAGCCGCGGUAAGACGGAGGAUGCAAGCGUUAUCCGGAAUGAUUGGGCGUAAAGCGUCUGUAGGUGGUUUAUUAAGUCUACUGUUAAAGAUCUGGGCUUAACCCUGAAUCGGCAGUAGAAACUACUGAGCUUGAGUACGGUAGGGGCAGAGGGAAUUCCCGGUGUAGCGGUGAAAUGCGUAGAGAUCGGGAAGAACACCAAAGGCGAAAGCACUUUGCUGGGCCGAAACUGACACUCAGAGACGAAAGCGU
rnacentral:rRNA from 1 species